rfam:Haemonchus placei strain MHpl1 genome assembly, scaffold: HPLM_scaffold0001930
GGCACAAACUUUAAGUAGAGUAGCUUAGUAGGAUCAGCUGAUCUCACUAAUCUACUCUAUUUCAAGGUUGUGCCC